rnacentral:rRNA from 1 species
UUUUGGACAAUGGCGCAAGCCUGAUCCAGCCAUUCCGCGUGAGUGAAGAAGGCCUUCGGGUUGUAAAGCUCUUUCGCAAGGCAACAAAGAUUACUCUCUAAUAUAGAGUGAUUAUGACGGUACCUUGAUAAGAAGCACCGGCUAACUACGUGCCAGCAGCCGCGGUAAUACGUAGGGUGCGAGCGUUAAUCGGAAUUACUGGGCGUAAAGCGUGCGCAGGCGGUUUUGUAAGUCAGAUGUGAAAUCCCCGAGCUCAACUUGGGAACUGCGUUUGAAACUACAAGACUAGAAUAGGUCAGAGGGGGGUAGAAUUCCACGUGUAGCAGUGAAAUGCGUAGAGAUGUGGAGGAAUAUCAAUGGCGAAGGCAGCCCCCUGGGAUCAUAUUGACGCUCAUGCACGAGG